rfam:Oryza barthii chromosome 2, whole genome shotgun sequence.
ACCUACUCCCUCCAUCCCACUUUAAAUGUUUCUGUACCCGUUCGUCUUAUUUAAAAUUUUUUUAUGGUUAGUGUAUUUUUGUUGUUAUUAGAUGAUAAAAAAUAAAUAGUACUUUAUACGUGACUUAUUUUUUAAAAUUUAUUUUAUAAAUUUUUUAAAUAAAACGGACGGGUCAAAUGUUGGGUACGAAAAUCCACGACUGCACUUAAA